rnacentral:rRNA from 1 species
GUACAUCCAGAGAAUUUAGCAGAGAUGCUUAGUGCCUUCGGGAACUCUGAGACAGGUGCUGCAUGGCUGUCGUCAGCUCGUGUUGUGAAAUGGUUGGUUAAGCCCGCAACGAGCGCAACCCUUAUCCUUUGUUGCCAGCACGUAAUGGUGGGAACUCAAAGGAGACUGCCGGUGAUAAACCGGAGGAAGGUGGGGAUGACGUCAAGUCAUCAUGGCCCUUACGAGUAGGGCUACACACGUGCUACAAUGGCGCAUACAAAGAGAAGCGACCUCGCGAGAGCAAGCGGACCUCAUAAAGUGCGUCGUAGUCCGGAUUGGAGUCUGCAACUCGACUCCAUGAAGUCGGAAUCGCUAGUAAUCGUAAAUCAGAAUGUUACGGUGAAUACGUUCCCGGGCCUUGUACACACCGCCCGUCACACCAUGGGAGUGGGUUGCAAAAGAAGUAGAUAGCUUAACCUUCGGGAGAGCGUUUACCACUUUGUGAUUCAUGACUGGGGUGAAGUCGUAACAAGGUAGGCGUAGACGU